UACAGAGGGUGCUAGCGUUGUUCGGAAUCAUUGGGCGUAAAGGGCGUGGUAGGCGGUUUGCUAAGUCAUGUGUGAAAUCCCUCGGCUUAACCCGGGGAACGACGCAUGAAACUGGCAAGCUAGAGUACCAAAGAGGGGGGUGGAAUUCCCGGUGUAGCGGGUGAAAUGCGCAGAUAUCGGGAGGAACACCAGUGGCGAAGGCGGCUUACUGGUCCGGUUCUGACGCUGAGGCGCGAAAGCCGUGGGGAGCAAACGGG
rnacentral:rRNA from 1 species